rnacentral:lncRNA from 1 species
GAGCGUUUUGUUUUUUGUUAUGUUGGUGUCACUGGAAACAGUUGUGCUUCCUGAUGUCUUACUGAGAUGGCCUUUUUGGUCAUUUUGGGCCACUUUCCCAAGGAUACUGCAUGUUGCCUGACCUGUAUUCCUGAGGAAAUAAGGAGGACUUAGAUUGAUCUGUUUUGGACAGCGUACUUUCUCUAAGAAUGGCGAAAGGAAAAACAUCAGACUAGGAUGCUCUCCAGAAAUAAUAACUGAGAAUCUCAUCCUGUUGUCUUUCUUUAGCUUGCCCAUGGUGAUGUGAAGAUGAGAAGAAAUAGCAAGGCCCAACCAGUUCUUCAUCUGGAGACAGUUCAACGUUCUGCAAACCAGAUCUUCAGGAAUUUUACUGGGAUAAUUAUCCAAAUAAAUUGCAAGCAUUCUAUCCAAAUGGAGCUCUUUCUGAGAUGAAGAGAAUUCUCAAUGUCAAGAUUUGAACAAGAAGAGAAUGGAAUACACAAUAUGGACAUCCAUAAAAAUUCAUCAGAGAGCAUUUUACUACUGAGCUGCAAAGGGAAAAACUUAAAAUGGAUAUGAAAAGUGAAGAAAGUGAUCAUAGGAGAAAACCAUUUCAGAUGACAAGAGCACCUCAAAGGCAGCAGCCUCAAGGAGCAGCCAUGGCCCCAGACUUGUCGCACGGAUGCAGAAAACUUAAUGGAGGAGGCUGAGGUCAGAAUGGGAAGAGUUUUUAAAAAAUAAAAAGGGGAGCUAA